rnacentral:misc_RNA from 1 species
GGUGGUUGGGAUCGCAACAGGGGCCAAGGUAGGGGUAGGGGUAGGGGUAGAGGUAGAGGAAGAGGACGUAGUUCACGUGGCCGUGGGAGAGUAUACAAUGGACCUCCUAAUGACGUGCAGCAAGAUGGAGGCUACAACUAUGAUGCACCUGCUCAAGCCCGUGGCCGUGGCCGUGGAAGGGGCCGUGGAUUUAGAUCAACUGGGCAGAUCCAGGUGGCUGCAUGAGGUGCUCUUUCAGCUUCCCUUUAAAUGCAGUGCUGUUGACUAUGUUUGAUGCCUUCUCCAAUAUCAUAUUUAUCAUAUUUUAUUACCCCCUUCCCAAAUUUCCCCGUUUGUCCGAAUUAGGAGUUUGUAGGCUUAGUACACAUGUAACCCUGUAGACUAAUCUUUGUAGCUUGUAACUGUUGCCUUGGGGCACUUUAGGUGUAGGUGUGCUGCUUGAAGCCUUGAACUAUUGUAACUGUUACAAGCUACAAAGAUUAGUCUACAGG